rnacentral:misc_RNA from 1 species
AAGUCGUAACAAGGUUUCCGUAGGUGAACCUGCGGAAGGAUCAUUGACAAAUCUAAACAAACACGCACCUGUGAAUAGCUGGCGUCAGUGUCACCCUUUAGCUUAGCUUAGCUAGGGUGGUGCUGAUUAUUAGUUAGUGGGCGAGAGCGAGAGAGAGUAACCACUCUCCCCCCCUCCCCACACACAUUUACACAAUUGACUUACAACACAAACAAACAACACACAACUUUUAGCAAUGGAUCUCUUGGCUUCU